rnacentral:rRNA from 1 species
GAUAAGGUUAAGUGAAUAAGGGCGCACGGUGGAUGCCUUGGCACUAGGAGCCGAUGAAGGACGGGACUAACACCGAUAUGCUUUGGGGAGCUGUACGUAAGCUAUGAUCCAGAGAUUUCCGAAUGGGGGAACCCAGCAUCUUUAAUAGGAUGUUACGAUUGUGUGAAUACAUAGCACAUUCGAGGUAGACGCAGAGAACUGAAACAUCUAAGUACCUGCAGGAAGAGAAAGAAAAUUCGAUUCCCUGAGUAGCGGCGAGCGAAACGGGAAAAGCCCAAACCAGCAAGCUUGCUUGUUGGGGUUGUAGGACUCCAAUAUGGUAGUUCUUUCAGAUAGUCGAAUGACUUGGAAAAGUCAGUCAAAGAGGGUAAAAACCCCGUAGA